rnacentral:ncRNA from 2 species
CUGUAAUAAGGAUUGCAGCGGUAUCCUUUUUUUGAGGAACGAAAAAAAAGAUUUAGCGUAAAGCCUGAUUACUU